CCUACGGGAGGCAGCAGUGAGGAAUAUUGGUCAAUGGACGAGAGUCUGAACCAGCCAAGUAGCGUGAAGGAUGACUGCCCUAUGGGUUGUAAACUUCUUUUAUAAAGGAAUAAAACGAGGCACGUGUGCCUUUUUGCAUGUACUUUAUGAAUAAGGAUCGGCUAACUCCGUGCCAGCAGCCGCGGUAAUACGGAGGAUCCGAGCGUUAUCCGGAUUUAUUGGGUUUAAAGGGAGCGUAGAUGGGUUGUUAAGUCAGUUGUGAAAGUUUGCGGCUCAACCGUAAAAUUGCAAAUGAUACUGGCAGUCGUGAGUACAGUUGAGGUAGGCGGAAUUCGUGGUGUAGCGGUGAAAUGCUUAGAUAUCACGAAGAACCCCGAUUGCGAAGGCAGCUUACUAAACUGUGACUGACAUUGAUGCUCGAAAGUGUGGGUAUCAAACAGGAUGAGAUACCCCUGUAGUC
rnacentral:rRNA from 1 species